rnacentral:tRNA from 1 species
GGAGUUCCCGACACGGCUCAGUGGUUAACGAAUCCCACUAGGAACCAUUUGGUUGUGGGUUCAAUCCCUGGCCUUGCUCAGUGGGUUGGGGAUCCCGCGUUGCCGUGAGCUGUGGUGUAGUUUGCAAACAUGGCUUGGAUCCCGUGUUGCUGUGGCUCUGUUGUAGGCUGGAGGCUACAGCUCCAAUUUGACUCCUAGCCUGGGAACCUCCAUAUGCCGCGGGAGCAGCCCAAGAAAUGGCAAAAAGACAAAAAAAAAAAAAAAAAAAAAAAAAAAUGAGAAUCUCAAGGCUGUAGAGGUUAAGUAAUCUAUAAGCAUUGGCACCAAGGUUUCAAUCAGACUUGCUGUAAGAACCAGAUUAUUCCCCAGAUACCACAUGUUGCCUUCUCAAAUACAGACUUGAAAAAUAGAUAACACCGAGGCUAUGGGGGAUGAUUGCUACGUUAAUUUGAACCUCUUAGUAAGGUCAGAAAAUGGACCAUAGAAUGAGACAAACAACAGCUUUUUUUUUUUUUUUUUUUUUUUUUAAAUCACUGAGAAUAGCAGGAGGAAGACUUGAGAGGUCAAAAAGUAAUUUUAAAUGGUAAUCUGUUAGCUAUAUCAAGAGUAGUUAUGGGAAUGACAUCACCGGGGGGAAAAGAGUAAAUAUUUCAACAGACUAUUAAUCUAUCACAAUUAACAGAUCUAAAACAAAGCAUCAUUAAUAGUCUUCUGCUUCCUUUUUCCUGGCUACAGUGCUGGAAAGAGCUACACGAGCAUAUGACUGAAUUGUUUUGCAAGGCUGGGUAACCUACAGCUGGUUCAUGGUCAAUGGCUGAAGCCUCACUGGAGAUGUAAAUUAUGUUAGUCUGUGAGUUUCAUGACAUGUACCUGAGGAGCACAAACUUGUGUGUAGUGAGUCAGAGAGCAAUUGGUUUCUUGGUACCCUUUUCACAUAUGCACCAUGUGAAUACUGAACAGUAAUGACUUGCCUGGCAAAUCCAUUUCAUGGCGGAGAGACAGAAAUGUGUCCUGAUUCUCAAGCUCUUAGUUUUGUGUCACUGAAAAAGAAUUGCAAUCCUUUCUGUCCAUUUGUUAGCUGCGUCUGUUUUUCUAUUAGUACAAUGCAUGUAAGGCUCUUGGGACAACAUUAUUGUGUAAGUGAAAUCAAUGGACGCAUAUAAAACACUUGGGGUCAUGCAGAGAACAGAGUAAGACCUCAAACAAUAGUUAGCAUUUGUUAGCGUUAUGGAUAUAGCGUUCUGCCACCUGACUCUUCUCAAAAGGAAAUUAAUACCCAUAUUUGUCUCGAGUAAGUUUUGGUGUCAUGGGAUCGACCCCAGAAGGCUGCUAGCAGAGCCAAAUGGGAGAAAACCCAGUCUGACUUGUAGCUCAGGAGGGCUAGUGUUUACAUUUGGGCUGUGUCUUUGGUUACUUUUAAUCUGACCAACCUGGUGCUUCACCAGCAUAAAACUACUUCCUCCCAAGGUUUUCACUUGCAGAAACAAAAAGACCCUUGAGGCCAAUAAGUACUUAUUUAUUUUUAAAUGUUUUAAAAUUAAAAUAAUCGUGUGAGGCUUUUGCUUCAGCUUUCUUUCUGAAAUGACUCUUGACAGGAACUGGAAAUAGUUCUUGUCAAUGCAGCCAUUAUCUCUUGUGACCCAACGGUAUGUGGGAGGUAGAGUGGAAUUUCUGAGUUCUUUGUACCUAGGAAUGAACUGUCUGUCAUUUAGUUAAAAUAAAUUAUUGAUUUUUCAAUCAAAUCAAAAUAUUGAGUCAAACAAGUGGGUACUGUACUUGAAUUUUCCUUUACUUGUAAGAACUGUUUUUCACUAUUUUAUGACUAGUGGGGGGAAAUAUGGGGUUAUAAAUAACAAACACACGUUUGGGGCUUAAUGAAACCCAUAGAGGCAGUUAUAGGACAGUCUGGAAGAAACUUGAAAUUACCAUUAUGUCCCAGGAAAAUAAAUAAUUCUUUUUCUUGCCUUAUCAGAUAAGCAACCUGACAAUAUGCUUUGGAAACAAUUUAGAAUAUUUAGUUUCUCUCUUCAUUAGAGGCCUGUGCAUGAAGCUCAGAUCAUUCCUUCCAGAAUCCGGAGGUUUCUCUUAUCUCUCCUGGGAACAAGGAUGUUAAGUGUCCUCAGCAUCGCUUCAGGGCUUGGGCUUGGGCAGGUCUUAAGAGCAAGACAAAUGACUGGUUUUGCUGGAAGGGAACUAGAGAAAGCUGGACACAUGUUCAAGUGGAAUAGAGAAUAAUGACAGAUAGCUUUAGCACAUCGAGCUUUCCUCCAGCGAUUAAGAGAUGACUCCAUGUGGGGUUACUGUGUUGUUGCUUCAAGACCUGCAACAUUUAAGUAUCUACGGCCUGGGAGUAGAAAAUGCCAAAGAUCAUUCUAAUUUCUUCUUUAAAUUACCUCCAAAAGCUCUAAUUUUUUCAGGAAUAAACUCCAAAAUGCUCAGCAUGAGAAUCUGAAUUUCUUUGCUCUGCUUCUACCUACUUAUCCAGUUCCUGUGGUUCUGUUUCUCUCUUCCAACCUUGGGCUGCACAUGCUCUCUUCAUAACAAAUAGCAGCAUCACUGUACCACAUCAUGUACAUGUACCUCUCUGCCUUUGAAUGUCAUUCUCCUUUUGUCCAAAAAUGGCCUGACACCCUUUAUUUCCUAGACAAAGUGAAAAAUUAUCAUUUAAAACAUGCUACUUAGUCUGAAAUCUGGGAUGUGUGUACUUUCUAUGUUAUUUCAAAGUAUCCUUUCUUUUUCUUAAUCAUUUAUCAUAUUGUAAUCCUCUGCUUUAUUGUUUGCAUCUACCUUUAAACCAGUGACUUGGAUUUAAUUGGUGUUAAGUGGGGCCUCCAACUCAGUGGUCUGUUUUAAAAGUUCCCUUGGGAUUGGCAUAUGCACACUGAGCUAUCUCAAAUGAUAGGCCAACGGGGACCUGCUGUAUAGCACAGAGAACGCUACCCAAUAUUCUGUGAUAAUCUGUGUGGGAAAAGAAUCUGAAAGAGAGUGGAUGUGUACAUGUACAACUAAGUCAUUUUGUUGUACAGAGGAAAUUAUCACAACCUUGUAAAUUAACUAUACUUCAAUAAAACUUUUAAAAAAGAAAAAAAGAAGAAAAUUUCCCUAGUGAUUCUGGUUCACACCAAGGACUAAGAUCCACUGGAUUUGACUGAAAACUCCAUGAAGAUAGAACGGUUGACUGACUAGUUCAUUGCGAUCCCUUGUUUUCUAGCUCCGUGCUACAGUAAAUCAAGAAAUAUACAUGGAUUAAAUGUCCUUGUGUCCCCAGUGCUUGGUACAGUGUAAAACAAUUGCCGAAUGAAUGAAUGAAUACAUUAAAUUCUACAAGGGUUACACAAACUAGUAAACCACAGGAUUUACUUUUAAAAAGUAAUAGUUGGAUAAGAAUAAGAGGAAAUGGAGACAUACAUCAAGAAUUCUGACAUAGUCACUCAUACAGUCAGUGGCAAAAAUAUUUAUAGUGGUUGGAAUGGUUUCUUCCAGAGAGUGUCUUUCAUGGGGAAGAUUUUUCUUCUUUCUGAAUGCAGAAAUUUUCCAAGUGGUUUGGCAGAAGUCCAGUUCAUUGAAGUUUUGAGCAAAUUCUGUUUAAGUUCCUUUGCUAAAUCUUCUGAGGUCAUUCCAGACCAUUUGCCUUUCUCUGUUUGGCACUAAGGCAGGAAAUGUUUUUCUCCAUUUUUAAAGUGCAGUUCUAGGGGCCGGUGAAGAAUGCACGGGAUGCAACAUGCUAUCAGCCCCCUCCAGCUGUUUAUCGUGGUCUUUUUCAUUCUUAACUGGGACAUCAAGUUCUUUUGGAUACUAGUUAUUGUUUUAUACAUAAGACAAAAUAAACAUUUCCUGGAGGACUUCAGAGGGUAACUACUCUUAGGUUUUAUCUUGCAUUUUCCUUCAAUCCAAAGAGGAAAAAAUAAGAUUUAACUUGAAAGAGGACUCCCGUUUAUCAGGCUAUGCUGUAGUCAGUGAGCUGGUACAUUCUUUUUCUUUUCUUUUUUUUUAUGAGCCUGAGAGUGUCCAACCCCUCACUCUAACUUUCCCCAUCUUGAAUCACUUAAUGUUUUAAACUUGCAAGUGGUCAUGGCCUCCACCCAAGAUCAUCUGAAAACAAUGGUACCUGAGUCACUGACAUUCUUAAGGUCUUACUUGGAAGGAGUUGUUUGGAGCGGCUGUAGUCUGACCUGAGUCAUUCCACACUGGGCCAGGGAGGCUAAAGGAUUGGACUCUUCCCAAAGGAACGCUUGUUAUUGUCGUGAAUCUCCAGAAAGAGACAUGUAGUUAGAGCUAAGAGAACAUGAGCUUUGCCUCAGAUUGACUGUCGGAUGGGGACAGACCAUGACCUUUUUAAUCAGGAUAGGCUUAGCCUGGAUAUUUUGUACAAAGUAAGUUGGCUUCUGGUGGAAUUUCCCAGAGAGACCACCCUGGAGGAAGGUAUGAUGAUUUAGUGAGAAGGCCAUGGGAUUUGGAGUCAGACUUAGGUUUAAUUCCUGCCUCUACCUGUCUUAUCAUACUGUCUCUGCCAUGUACUCUGCAAAUUAGGUAAGAUGCUUAACCUCUCUGAAGCCUAAUUUCUCAUCUAUAAAAUAUAAUAACAACUAAAGAAAUGAAAUAUUAUUGAAUUUGUCAGGUACACAUUUUAUUUUAAAAUAUUAAUUAAAACAAUACUGUGUGCUGUAGAAGAGAAACAGAGUUUCUGCCCUCCUACUAUUCACAUUAAUGUAGAGCAACAUAUAAAACAGCAGUAGAAACAGAAUUGAUAUCUACCUUAAUAUUAUCAUUUAGAAAAACCAAGUGGCGUUAUAUGUUUAUAGAUCUACCUUGAAAGUGUUAAUAGCACCAUACCCACAUUCAUUUCUAAAAAUAGGUUGCAUUUCCUCUCCUAUUGACCAAAACCAAAGUAUUUUAAGAGUAGGAAAUGGUACCUGGUUGGGAAAGGGGUAUUUUUUCAGAAACCAGAAAGGAAGAUAGUUUAGUUACAGAGUGCAACCGAGAGCAUAAUGUAGGCAUUUUCUCAACUGCCUCUUGGAAGCAGGGCUAAAGUAGGCAGUCCAGGUGUUUGCUCAAUUGUGUGAUUUGGUGGGCCUGAGAUAGAAGGACCUGCCUGGAAAGAGACUAAUCCUUCAUAAACUAUGUAGUAUGCUUGUGAAAAAGACUGUGGUAUGUAAAACUAUGGAGGGCAAGACUGAGGACUUAAAGAAAAUAGAGGUUUGUGGGAAAAGCAAUAAAAAUGAUGUAUAUGUGUUUUUAUUUAAACAUCACAGUUCAUAAACGUUCUCGAAGGCAUCCACUGCUAAAACAAACUAAAUGUGUUGGUGUUAAAAUGUAGCUCCAAUAAGUGAUCAUUUUCCUGACUGUCCUACUGAAUUGUUCUGGAAAACCCCUGAAAUGGAUUUUUCCAUGAGUCAUAUGUUUUGCAAACUCAUUUGAAAAAUUUGGACCCUACUGACUUGAGAUUUAACAUUUUUUUUGCACUUAUCUUUCGGCUAAUUUCCUCAAGUAUUAGAAAAAUGUUGAUAUAGCCACUCUGCCUAGAAGCCUUCAUCCCACAUACCUAGAGGGUGCAGCCUAAUCAAAUGUCCCUUCUACACUAUAUACCUCUACUUGGGGAGCAGGCACGGGGAGGAAUAUGGCUUUGGAACACUUUUGUUUAAAAGGAGUCAAGCACACAAAAUGUGGGUAACACUAUUGUAGACUCUUUAAGUUGUCAUUCAAAUGUAAAAACUGCAUAUUCUUGUAACUUGAAGCCUACAUCCAGUGAGUCACUCAUUUGGGUGUUAUCUUGGGAAUUGGUAUGGUAUGUUACUGUGAAUAGAUAAAAAUUGAGUUUAUCAUUUUUUUUUUCUUGCCAUGGUUGUCAGGGACAUGAUAUGCAAUCUCAGUUCCCAGACCAGGGAUUGAACCUGGUCCAUAGCGAUGAAAGUGCCAAAUCCUAACCACUAGACCACCAGGGAACUCCCCAGUUAAUCAUUUAUAAGCAUUCAUUUGAAAGCUAGUUUAUCAAAUGAGCAAAUAAGUUGUCCUAGGGGCACAAGUCAGAAAAACAUAGUGAGUGUAGGGGGGAUACAGAGAAGUUCUGGAGACAUGGCUCUGAUGAUCCCGAAGAAACCUUCAGUGGGAGUCAUUCGUGGUGGUAUGAAUGCGGUGAUGGGUUGUGCGGAGGGAAGAGACACAGCCAAAAUUAAUGGCAGAAGGCCACUCUUUUGUCCCUUAUUUUGGCCUAUAAUUGACCCUGUUUAGAAUGAAGGCUUCAGUAUUGCUGCUUUUGCUCUGACAGAGUUUAGUUGAAAAUAAUAGAGCUUAGUUAAUUAUUGUGGCUGAGGGCUGACAGACUUCCUCAUACAAUCCUAUCUAUACUAAUCUUCAUAUGUAAGAAAACACCAAGGGAGUAUAGAAACCAAACUUUUAUGUGAAAAUACCUGACUUACUGUGUUCUUGUUUACCCUUUAGAGUUUCUGUGUUUCCUGGUCAAAUUUAUUCUUUACUCAUUUAAAAUCAAAGCACAGGAGUUCCCAUCCUGGCUCAGUGGUAAUGAACCCAACAAGUAUCCAUGAGGACACAGGUUAAAACCCUGGCCCUGCUCAGUGGGUUAAGGAUCUGGUGUUGCUGUGAGCUAUCGUGUAGGUCGCAGAUGCAGCUCAGAUCCCACGUUGCUGUGGCUGUGGCGUAGGCUGACAGCUACAGCUCCAAUUCGACCCCUAGCCUGGAAACUUCC